GGGCAUCAUCGGUCCAGGGAAGGAAGCAAAGCAGAUGGAGGAUGGCGUGCUGGUGACGGACAGUGCAGGGGAGCAACUACAGAGGUCACUUGAACUGGCUGGUUCGGAGGUCAUCUGAGAUGGAAACCAACAUUGUGGCCAUGGAGAGACUCAAGGAGUAUUCAGAAACUGAGAAGGAGUUGAGAAAACUGAGACAGAAAAGUGAAGUUACUUGUCCAAGAUCACAUGGCUGGUAAAUGGCAGACCUAGGCUUUGAGCCUGCGCUUCCUCGGAGACCCUCUCCAGUGCCAUGGGAGUCAUACUACACUGCCUCCUGAGGAAGUGCCCCUUGGGAGAGAGACCAAGGCCUCUGGCACCUUGGCAAAUCCAGGAAACAGCUCCGCCCAGCAGCUGGCUCCAGGUGGGCUGAGUGGAAUUCUGAACUACUGCCAGCGCUACCGAGACCUGGAUUUUGUUCUCAGGCACAUCAGUGGGGGACAAAAGGCUGGAGUGCAGCAGCAUCAUCUCGGCUCAC